rnacentral:rRNA from 1 species
UACAGAGGGCCCAAGCGUUGUUCGGAUUCAUUGGGCGUAAAGGGCGCGUAGGCGGCGGGGUAAGUCAGGUGUGAAAUCCCGGAGCUUAACUCCGGAACUGCACUUGAUACUGCCUUGCUCGAGUACUGGAGAGGAGACUGGAAUUUACGGUGUAGCAGUGAAAUGCGUAGAUAUCGUAAGGAAGACCAGUGGCGAAGGCGAGUCUCUGGACAGUUACUGACGCUGAGGCACGAAGGCCAGGGGAGCAAACGGG